rnacentral:lncRNA from 1 species
UUCUUGAGCAUGUCUCCUGUUCAGGAGCAAGGACUGUCGGAUAUGUGCUUGACAACUCUGCAGCAUCCUUCUGAUUAUGUGAGCAGCGUAUGUGGUUGUGGUAUCCUCUCUGCUUUGUCUGUUAGCAGUCCUUUUUCUUUCUCUGCGAAGACCACAGCUUGGAUGGAUUGUGCCAUUUUAAAGGGCUCCACUAAUUUGCGUGGAGAAACACCAUGGAGAUUCUGUAAAUUCUGCAUUUGACAUAAGUCAGCUGGGGCUCUAGAGGCCUAUUUUCAUGUGGCACUCCAGAAAUACACUUUCUGGUGCCCCCCAGACUGGUUGAAACACAACUGCUGUCCCAGUCUUUCCAAGGACAGAGUGUCUCCACUGGCUUUGUUACGGUCUUAGCCGGGGAGAUUAGUGCAGGAAGAACACCAGCUUUUCCCUUUUCACCGACAGAGAGAAUAAAAGCUUCAGUUGCUUUUUGCCUGCUCGGUUUGCGCCAAUUGCACAGUAUAGCCUUUGCACUUCACAAUAUCUGCAACUGUCAGGCUGAAAGAAGCAGUUCUGCCUGCCCUGGAAGAUGAGCAAGUGCAAAGCUGCAUUUACUCUAUCAUUUUUGGGUAAAUUACUACCAGGGCCAGUCUGUUCCUCCCAGGGAAUAGCUGGACCUUUAUAGAAAGAAAGCUUUAAAAGCAUCGCCACAGUGUGUCAUUUCUUCCUUAUGAAAGCUGUAGGCUGCAGCUAUUAUUCUUUUUUCCUUUUUUUUUCUUUUUUUUUUCUUUUUGUUUUACUGCAGUAGAAAUGAGGAAAGCUGUAAGAGUCUUCUGCGGCCAGCACCAGAUUAGCACUUCAGGGUUUCUCACUAGUGAGAACAGUACUGCCCAAGGAGCUUACUCUACACAGGCAAGAUCUAGAAGGAAAUAGACAUGAAUGCCAGUAACUCACACCAUUCAUCUGCCCAAGAGCAGUGCUGGAUUCAGCAGUUGCUACUUAGGAAGAUUGCUGGGGCACCAGGAGGAGCCACGCAAGAUCAGCCAGCAGCGCUUCCGGGUCCGCUUCCCUCUCUGGAUCCUGGACAGUUUGGUUUGAGCUGGGGGUGCGCCCAAGCAAAGCAUAUGGCAACACAACGGCGUCAGCAAGGAACACGGAGAGGAGAGGAGAGGAGAGGAGCGGAGGCAGCUCCGGGCGUGCUGCGUGCCUGUGUUCACCAGCAAGGGGGUGGUGGGGAUGAGAGAAGCACUCCCACAGGCUCCCACUCAGGGAGAAGAGCAGGAAACCUGCUUUAAAACGAACGAGUAAGAAGCUCAGCAGUUUUGAGGUGGAGUGGACCCGGGAGCUCUCCCCCAGCUGUGUGGCACAGCCUGAUGUUUUGUGUUCUCACAGGCAGUUGGGAAACUUGCUGCCAGUUUCCAGUCUAAACAUACCCACUUUUGAUUUGUAUCCGUCUGAUCUUCUGCUAAUACCAUCUUGUGGCAGAUAGUUCUUUUCCCUCAUACACCCAUGGAUGUAUUUAUAGAGUCGUCACGUAAAGCAAACACCCUGUGCUCUGUUAGCAAAGCUCCUUCCGCCUCUUUUUAUGCGAUAGAUCCUCUUCAGCAGCCUUUCCUUCCACCUGCACCUGCUUAGAUUUUCUGAUGCAGAUCAGGUUCACAGCUUUUAUGGCUUUGGUGGUUAAACCGUUGUUUCCCACAGCUAGUGCAUGGUGAAACCAGUCCCUGGGUUUGGGUCACGGAAAGGCUCAUGACACCCAUGGAGCAUGUGUACAGUGGGUGCCCUGUGCUUUUCCAGAGCAAGGUGUGUGGGGUGAAAAGCCACGAUCUCUGUUAACCCUGGAGCACUGUGUCCUGCAGCAAAUCCUCUGGCAUCCGUCCCCUACUGCACUUUUGGCUCUCUGCCUUGCUCUGUUCAGCAAGUCCAAGCUGGAAAUUAAGGCUGGCCGCCAGCAGGGACACCCGAGCUGCUGAGUGAGCUGCUGGGAGGGAAAUCAAGCCGCAUGGUUUAGGGGCAGAUUCUUCUCUUAAGGCUCAUUAUUUUCAUUUUUCCAGACGCUCUCCUCCGGCUCUCCAUGAAACCUCAAACAGCAGAGCCGUGGGAUGCAGCCUGGGGUGAGGAGAGAGACCUGGGGUCAGCCAGCUGCUGUGCAGGGCCAUUGACACCUCCUUGCCACUGGGACACGGUUUGGGGAGGGGAUAACAGGCAGCUGGAAGCACGGGCAGGUGGAACAAUGUCUUUUUCCAUGGAGACUCCUGGAGCAGAUGUUCAUCCCAGGCUGCCUGCUCUUACCUG